rnacentral:lncRNA from 1 species
AAUAGUUGGUUAUUUAUGGGGAUGGAUUGGGAGGCUUGCAAAAAUACCUUGAGCUUAAGAAAGAUUUAUGUGGAUGGAUUCAGAGGGUUGCAAAAAUGAAUGUUGUAUAAGCUAAUGGAUGAAGGUUCAUAAGGUUUGUGAGUAUAUUGGAAUGAGAAGAUUUUCAGAAUCAUAGACAUAAAUACUUGCAUUACGGUCUUGGGAUAAUGGCUGGGUUUUAAAUCGACUGUUUUAUGAAAUAUUGGUAAGAUAAAAAUAAGUUUGCUUGGGGGCUAACAAAGAUUAAGUGUGGGGUGUUUUGAUAUGUACAUAUCUAUACAUAUAUUUUACAUCAUAUUUUAAUAUUUCUAGCCAUUUUUAUGCCCAUUAUAAAACAAAAGGUACUUAAUCUAUUGUAUGGUGUGUUGUAGUGGUAAAAGAUAUGCUGGAGCAAAAAGGAAGUUGGAAGCUGGAAGUUAGGAACUUGGAGCUAGGCAAAUAUGAAAUUAAUACCCAAUCCCACGAUGUGGUGUUUUGAAGUUUCCCGUCGAACCUCGAAGACAUUCAGAUUAUGUGACAAAUUAGAAGACCACGCCGUGGUGGACUUGUCACCAUGUGGUGGACCAACUUCGAGAAAAUUAUAAAUGGAAGGCAUAAUCCUCCGAAAACCCAACUUUUGCUAGAGCUAUUGUCAUAUUUUGAAGGCCAGGAACACACUCUGAAGGUUGGAGUUACAUAAGAUUGAUUAUAGCUUGGAUUUGAGAGAUUUGAGGUAGUACAAGUUAAAUUUCAUUUUUAUGUGUUUACCUGAUGAAAUCUUGGGCUAAAAACCUAUGACUUCGUUUAUAUUAGAUUACUUGACUUUCUAUUGCUUGAUUUAUGGUUUGGAUUAUGAAUAAUUGGUUGUUUAUAGGGAUGGAUUCAAAGGGUUGCAAAAAUACCUUGAGGUUAACAAAAUUUAUGCGGAUGGUUUCGGUGGAUUGCAAAAAUGAAUGUCGUAUAAGCUAAGGGGUGAAGGUUCAUAAGGUUUGUGAGUAUAUUGGAAUGAGAAGAUUUUUGGAAUCAUAGACAUAAAUACUUCCAUUAUGGCCUUGGGAUAAUGGUUGGGUUUUAAAUGGACGGUUUUGUGAAAUAUUGUUAAGAUAAAAAUAAGUUUGCUUGGGGGCUAACAAAGAUUAAGUUUGGGGUGUUUUGAUAUGUGCAUGUCUAUACAUAUAUUUUACAUCAUAUCGUAAUUUUUUAACCCUUUUUGUGCCCAUUAUAAAACAAAAGGUACUUAAUCUAUUGUAUGAUGAGUUGUGGUAAAAGACAUGCUCGGAGCAAAAAGGAAGCUAGAAACUGGAGGUUAGGGACUUGGAUCAAAGAAAAAAUGAAGAAAAUACACAUUCCCACGACGUAGUGUUUUGAAGUUUCCGGUCGAACCUCGAAGACUUGCGGAUUAUGUGAUAAAGUAGAAGACCACGUCGUGGUGGACUUGUCACCACGUGAUGGACCGACUUCGAGAAAAUUAUAAAUAGAAGGCAUAAUCCUCGGAAAUCCCAACUUUUGCAGGAGCUAUUGUCAUAUUUUGAAGGCCAAGAACACACUUUGAAGCUUGGGGUUACAUAAGAUUGAUUAUAGCUUGGAUUUGACAGAUUUGAGGGAAUAUAACUUGAAAUUCAUUUUUAUGAGUUUACCUGUUCAAAUCUUGGUCUAAAAAGCUAUGACUUCGUUUAGAUUAGAUUGCUUGACUUUUUAUGGCUUGAUAUAUGGUUUGGAUUAUGAAUAUCUAGUUAUUUAUGGGGAUGGAUUCGGAGGGUUGCAAAAAUACCUUGAGGUUAAGAAAGAUUUAUGGGGAUGGAUUCAGAGGGUUGCAAAAACGAAUGUCAUAUAAGCUAAUGGGUGAAGGUUCAUAAGGUUUGUGAGUAUAUUUGAAUGAGAAGAUUUUCGAAAUCAUAGACAUAAAUACUUUCAUUACGGUCUUCGGAUAAUGGCUGGGGUUUAAAUUGACUGUUUUUUGAAAUAUUGGUAAAAUAAAAAUAAGUUUGCUUGGGGGCUAACAAAGAUUAAGUGUGGGGUGUUUUGAUAUGUGCAUAUCUAUACAUAUAUUUUACAUCAUAUUUUAAUAUUUCUAGCCAUUUUUAUGCCCAUUAUAAAACAAAAGGUACUUAAUCUAUUGUAUGGUGUGUUGUAGUGGUAAAAGAUAUGAUGGAGCAAAAAGGAAGUUGGAAGCUGGAAGUUAGGAACUUGGAGCUAGGCAAAUGUGAAAUUAAUACCCAAUCCCACGAUGUGGUGUUUUGACGUUUCCCGUCAAACCUCGAAGACAUGCGGAUUAUGUGAUAAAUUAGAAGACCACGUCAUGGUGGUCUUGUCACCAUGUGGUCGACCAACUUCUAGAAAAUUAUAAAUGCAAGGCAUAAUCCUCUGAAAACCCAACUUUUGCUAAAGCUAUUGUCGUAUUUUGAAGGCCAAGAACACACUCUGAAGGUUGGAGUUACAUAAGAUUGAUUAUAGCUUGGAUUUGAG